GAUGAAGAACGCAGCGAAAUGCGAUAAGUAAUGUGAAUUGCAGAAUUCAGUGAAUCAUCGAAUCUUUGAACGCACAUUGCGCCCGCCAGUAUUCUGGCGGGCAUGCCUGUUCGAGCGUCAUUUCAACCAUCAAGCCCCAGGCUUGUGUUGGGGACCUGCGGCUGCCGCAGGCCCUGAAAACCAGUGGCGGGCUCGCUGUCACACCGGGCGUAGUAGAUUUUAUCUCGCUCAGGGCGUGCUGCGGGUUCCGGCCGUUAAAAAGCCUUUUUUACCCAAGGUUGACCUCGGAUCAGGUAGGAAGACCCGCUGAACUUAAGCAUAUCAAUAAGCGGGAGGA
rnacentral:misc_RNA from 1 species